CUGCCCGUAGCUCAGCUGGACAGAGCAUCGGCCUUCUAAGCCGAGGGUCGGGAGUUCGAAUCUCCCCGGGCAGGCCA
rnacentral:tRNA from 2 species